AAACCAUGGUGUGGACAGCUCCUCAGUAAAUUUUUGAAACGUUCCCAGUAAUCGUACAAGGUCUCAUUCUCUUAUUGAAGAAACCCUGCUAUGUCAUUCCUUAACUU